AACGAACGCUGGCGGCAUGCCUAAUACAUGCAAGUCGAACGAGACCUUCGGGUCUAGUGGCGCACGGGUGCGUAACGCGUGGGAACCUGCCCUUAGGUUCGGAAUAACUCCCCGAAAGGGGUGCUAAUACCGGAUAAUGUCUUCGGACCAAAGAUUUAUCGCCUUUGGAUGGGCCCGCGUUGGAUUAGCUAGUUGGUAGGGUAAAAGCCUACCAAGGCGACGAUCCAUAGCUGGUCUGAGAGGAUGAUCAGCCACACUGGGACUGAGACACGGCCCAGACUCCUACGGGAGGCAGCAGUGGGGAAUAUUGGACAAUGGGCGAAAGCCUGAUCCGGCAAUGCCGCGUGAGUGAUGAAGGCCUUAGGGUUGUAAAGCUCUUUUACCCGGGAUGAUAAUGACAGUACCGGGAGAAUAAGCUCCGGCUAACUCCGUG
rnacentral:rRNA from 1 species